UCUUCGUGUACAGAACAAAGCCCAAAGAACCUGUUUGUGUAUUUCAGUCCUUGCAGAGAUUCUUGGUGUGGAAUCCAGAGUAGUACUCUGGCUAUCCAACUCCACUUCUCCUGACUUUAAUGGAAAUAUCUUUCUAAUAUGGCUCAGAACGAAGGAACUACCGUCUGGUUCUAUAUGCAGCUGAGGCAAAGAGGAAUUAAUCUCCAAGGCCAUACCAAAGAAUGUGUUACAGGAAAUAAAAAACAGCUCUGGAUAAAAUUACUGGCUUGAUCACAACACUGCUUAAUUCCCAGAAGCCAAAGAACAUCUGACCAGCCUGAGCAACUGAGGCAGCUGCUCACAGAACCACACUGCAGCCAACAGCAGGGCCCACUGAAGAAACAGAGAAACUCUUGUUUUUUGCAAUUAAUGAGCUAAAGAAACUGAACUAUCAAUUCUGUAAGACCAUAUUAUUGUUAACAUUUCAAACCACCUGAGGAUUUGUAACUCUUGAUUUUGAUCUCAGAUGGACCACAAACUGUCCUGUACAAUUGUUGAUGACAGUGUGGUGUGGAAAAUGACCCCAUAUUAUCAGCUGUGGGUGCCAAGAUCUAGUAACUCAUUGCAAACAAUAAGUAAAAUCCUUGUUGGGCUGAUUCUACUAGAAUAAUUUAUUGAUGUUAAAGGACAUCCUCUUGCCCCUCCCCCCCAAGAUAAGACAGAAAGCUCCCAGAAGUCUCCAAGAAUUAAGAUAAGAAUGUCCACACCACUUCAUAUUUCUAACAGUUAAGUAUUUAAAGGAGCUACUAUCGAGCUCAAGAAAAGCAAAAACUUGGCAUGCCAAUUUAAGAUCUGGAAUUUGUAAUUAUUUGUUUUGAAUAUGCUGUAAGAUUAGCAAAUAUCCAAACCUAAGUAGCUAACUAGUUUGUUUUCCUGGGAUUUUAUGAGAUUCAUAGAUUUCAGAAGAGACUCAGAAGCAAUUAAAAACAUUAUUUUUGCAUAUCUAGGUUAAAAAGAACAUUCCAGUGUUGGAAGUCUUGAAUGUAUAUUCUUAAUUUUUUUUUUUUUUUAGUCUUAAUAUCACAGCAAACAAUAUUGUUUGGACUGACAGUUUUGGCAAGAAUUUUAACUCAUGAAAAUACCUGAAUAACAAGAAGCAUGUGAUUUUACUCUCUCUUCUGGGAUCAGCCUGAGAAAGGAAUUUAUUUUUUUUCCCCUUGUUUUUAACAAUAGCUGAUUAUUCCUUGCCUCUCACUAUGGCAUUUACCCAUUGCAACCUCUUGCCUGGGAUGGAAAUCCCUAAAAUCCUGCAUCUUGAAACGGAGAUAUGAGGAAAUAAAAGUGUACACUUUAUACACUCUCCAUUUUUAAUGAUUCUGCAUGCAGAUUGCAUGAACCAGUAACAAGUUGCACUGUUAACUCAGAUCCUGGAAACAUAUCCUUC